GCCGCGGUAACUCAGCUGGGAGAGUGCCAGACUGAAGAUCUGGAUGUCGCCGGUUCGAGACCGGCCCGCGGCA
rnacentral:tRNA from 1 species